UCUUGUAGAAUUAGGAAUAUAUGUACUCCUUGAAUCCUUAUCUGCUAUAUUGUCCUUAAAGCUUUAGGGUUGACGAUCUUGUGCAACGAAACUUGAGUUCUUCACAAAAGCUUGUAAUUCCAAGCAGAUUUGCUGAUCUGACCUUUCUUCAUUCAAACGAUCAUAACUCAGUCUAGAAGUAUCGAAAUCGAGAUCCGUAAAAUUCUAUAGAAAAUAGACAUCUGUAGCUUUCCAAUGAUAUAAGGCUCAUAAUCUGAUUCGAUCUCAGUAAUUCGGCGAAGUUGGAUGUUCUGCCCAGGCAGAUUUUAGGACUUGGGAUUGUAGUCGUCUUUCAAUCCUUAUUUGCGCAUUUUAUCUCUUUUUCUUCUCUCUAUGACACAAACCUUCAAGAACACUAAAAUAACAUAAAUAAGUCAUAAAGAAGAUAACUAAAUACAAAUCUCAAGCAUAAAAGGCUUAGAAAUAUAGGAUAAUAUGAGCAUAUCAAAAAUUGGCCGGAAAGUUAUAAUCCACCCACCGUAACUCUACGUCGUGAGUCGAGCUUCAAGACCAUCAUAAGUCGAACCAGGGCGCCCAACACUUCCUAUCCCUACCGGUUUUAAGCCUCGUCGCCACCGCCGGAGGUAGGAAUCCCGACCGGUCCUCCACCCGAAACUUCUAGGCUUCGAUUCGCACGAACCAUCAUGAAUCGGAGCAAGCCACCACCACAAGUAAGGAUGCGCCACCGAGAUGAAGCGUCUCCAACCGGUGCCGUCGGUCGGAGUUGGCUGAAAAAACCGGGUCCGGGUCGGGUCAGCUGGAGAAUUUGGAUUCUCUCGGGGUCAGGAAGAGAGAAGGAGAGGGGAAGAAAUGUGAUUUUGAAAAAAUGAGGACCCAAAACAAAAUUUUCCUAUUUAACCUAAAUAUUCCUGAAAAGUCACAACUUCCGCUGACCAUAACUUUCUCAUACGAAGUCUGUUUUAUGCGUGUCGCGUGUCUACGAACUUGUAUCGUCGUGCUCUACAACUUUCGUGAAGGAAGUUUCUCGAGAAACCCAACGAAUAAAAAGUCAACUCUAAGGCUGCUAAGGGGUCGCCUUCACUCGCUAUAGGUCUGCCUUGGCCCGCUUUGGGCUGCCUUAACUCGCCUUGGGCUGCCUUGACUCGGCUAAGGCCACAAAGGUGCCGCCUUCACCUAGCUAAGGCCGCAAGGUGUCGCAUUGACCCGCUAAGGGUCUGCCUUGACCUGCUUUGGGCUGUCUUGACCCUUCUUGGCCACCCCUUGCGCUGCCUUGACACGUCUAGGGCCACCUUGACCUGUUAUGGGCUGCCUUGACCUGUCUACGGCCGAUUUGGGCCGUCUUGACCCAUCUAGGGGCACCUUGACCCGCCUUAACCUGCCUUGGCCCGCCUGGACCCGCCUUGGGCUGCCUUGACCCGCCUAGACCCUCCUAGGGCCGCUAAGAGGCCGCCUUAGCCCAUCUAGGUCCACUAAGAGGCCGCCUUAACCCAUCUAGGGCGGCCAAGGGGCCGCGUUCACCUGUUUAAGACCGCCAAAGGGCCACCUUGGGCUGCCUUGACCCAUUUUAGGCCGCCUUGGGCUGUCUUUAUCUAGGGCCUCUAAGAGAUCGUCUUAACCCAUUUAGGUCCACUAAGAGGCCACCUUAACCCAUCUAUGGACGCCAAGGGCCGCGUUCACCCGUCGAAGGCCGCCAAGGGGGCCGCGUUUACCCAUUUUGACUUGCCAGGAGCUGCUUUGACCUUCCUAGACCCACCCAAGGCCGCCUUGCCCCUUCUAGGCCCUCCUAGGCCCGCCUAAACCACCAAGGGGCCGACUUGACCCUCCAAGGCCCUCCUAGGCCCGCUUACGGCCACUAAGGGGCCGCCUUUACCUGUUUUGGGCUACCUUGACCCGCCUUGACUCGUCUUGUGCCGCCUUAACCUGCCUUGGGCCCCCUUGACCCGUCUNNNNNNNNNNNNNNNNNNNNGCCUAGACCAUCCUUGGGCCGCUAAGAGGCCGCCUUAGCCCAUCUAGGUCCACUAAGAGGACGCCUUAACCCAUCUAGAGCGGCCAAGGGGCCGCGUUCACCCGUUUAAGCCUGCCAAGGGGCCACCUUGACCCGCCUUGGCCCACCUUGACCCCCUUAGGCCGCCUUGAUCCGCUUUGGGCCGCCUUGACCCGCCUUGGCCAACCUUGACCCGCCUUAGGCCUCCUUGACCCUCCUAGGGCCUCUUAAACCGCCUUAACUCUCCUAGGGUCUCCAAGAGGCCGCCUUAACCGAUCUAGGGCUACCAUGAGGCCGCCUUCACCCAUUUAGGACCACUAGGUUCCCGCCUUGACCCGUCUAAGGCUGCUAAGGGGGUCGCCUUCACUCGCUAUAGAUCUACCUUGGCCCGCUUUGGGCUGCCUUGACUCGGCUAAGGCCACAAAGGUGCCGCCUUCACCUAGCUAAGUCCGCAAGGUGUCGCCUUGACCCGAUAAGGGUCUGCCUUGACCGGCUUUGGGUUGCCUUGGUCACCCCUUACGCUACCUUGACAAGUCUAGGGCCACAUUGACCUGUUAUGGGUUGCCUUGACCCGUCUACGGCCGAUUUGGGCCGUCUUGACCCAUCUGGGGCACUUUGACCUGCCUGGACCCGCCUAGACCCUCCUAGGGCCGUUAAGAGGCCGCCUUAGCCCAUCUAGUUCUACUAAGAGGCCGCCUUAGCCCAUCUAGGUCUACUAAGAGGCCGCCUUAACCCAUCUAGGGCGGCCAAAGGGCCGCGUUCACCUGUUUAAGCCCGCCAAAAGGCCACCUUGGCCCAACUUGGGCUGCCUUGACCCAUCUUAGGCUGCCUUGGGUCGUCUUUAUCUAGGGCCGCUAAGAGAUCGCCUUAACCCAUCUAGGUCCACUAAGAGGCCACCUUAACCCAUCUAUGGACGUCAAGGGCCGCGUUCACCCGUCGAAGGCCGCCAAGGGCCGCGUUCACCCAUUUUGACUUGACAGGAGCUGCCUUGACCUUCCUAGGCCCGCCCAAGGCCGCCUUGCCCAUUCUAGGCCCUCCUAGGCCUGCCUAAACCACCAAGGGGCCGACUUGACCCUUCAAGGCCCUCCUAGGCCCGCCUACGGCAACUAAGGGGCCGCCUUUGCCUGCUUUGGGCUGCCUUGACCCGCCUUGGGCCGCCUUUACCAGUCUACGGCCGCCUUGGGCUGCCUUGACUCGUCUAGUGCAGCCUUAACCUGCCUUUACCCACCUUGGGCCGCCUAGACCCUCCAAGGGCCACUAAGAGGCCGCCUUAGCCCAUCUAGGUCCACUAAGAGGCCGCCUUAACACAUCUAGGGCGGCUAAGGGGCCGCGUUCACCCGUUUAAACCCACUAAGGGGCCACCUUAACCCGCCUUGGCCCACUUUGGGCCGCCAUGACCCGCCUUGACCCGUCUUGACCCGUCUUAGGCCGUCUUGACCCUCCUAAGGCCUCUUGAACCGCCUUAACUCUCCUAGGGCCGUCAGGAGGCCGCCUUAACCGAUCUAGGGCUACCAUGAGGCCGCCUUCACCCAUGUAGAACCACUAGGUGCCCGCCUUGACCCGUCUAAGGCUGCUAAGGGGUCGCCUUCACUUGCUGUAGGUCUGCCCUUGCCCGCUUUGGGCUGUCUUGACUCGGCUAAGGCCACAAAGGUGCCGCCUUCACCUGGCUAAGGCCGCAAGGUGCCUCCUUGACCCGCUAAGGGUCUGCCUUGACCCGCUUUGGGCUGCCUUGACCCUCCUUGGCCACCCCUUACGCUGCCUUGACACAUCUAGGGCCACCUUGACCUGUUAUGGGCUGCCUUGACCCGUCUACGGCCGAUUUGGGCCGUCUUGACCCAUCUAGGGGCGCCUUGACCCGUCUUAACCUGCCUUGGCCCGCCUGGACCCGCCAUGGGCUGCCUUGACCCGCCUAGACCCUCCUAGGGCCGCUAAGAGGCCAUCUUAGCCCAUCUAGGUCCACUAAGAGGCCGCCUUAACCCAUCUAGGGCGGCCAAGGGGUCGCAUUCACCUGUUUAAGCCUGCCAAAGGGCCACCUUGGCCCGACUUGGGCUGCCUUGACCCAUCUUAGGCCGCCUUGGGCCGCCUUUAUCUAGGGCCGCUAAGAGAUCGCCUUAACCUAUCUAGGUCCACUAAGAGGCCACCUUAACCCAUCUAUAGACGCCAAGGGCCGCGUUCACCCAUUUUGACUUGCCAGGAGCUGCCUUGACCUUCCUAGACCCGCCCAAGGCCGCCUUGCCCCUCCUAGGCUCUCCUAGGACUGCCUAAACCACCAAGAGGCCUACUUGACCCUCCAAGGCCCUCCUAGGCCCGCCUACGGCCACUAAGGGGCCGCCUUUGCUUGCUUUGGGCUGCCUUGACCCACCUUGGGCCACCUUUACCCGUCUACGGCCACCUUGGGCUGCCUUGACUCGUCUAGUGCAGCCUUAACCUGCCUUUACCCACCUUGGGCUGCCUAGACCCUCCAAGGGCCACUAAGAGGCCGCCUUAGCCCAUCUAGGUCCACUAAGAGGCCGCCUUAACCCGCCUUGGCCCACCUUGGGCUGCCUUGACCCGCCAUGGGCCGCCUUGACCCAUCUUGACCCGCCUUAGGCCGCCUUGACCCUCCUAAGGCCUCUUGAACCGCCUUAACUCUCCUAGGGCCGCCAAGAGGCCGCCUUAACCGAUCUAGGGCUACCAUGAGGCCGCCUUCACCCAUUUAGGACCACUAGGUGCCCGCCUUGACCCGUCUAAGGCUGCUAAGGGGGUCGCCUUCACUCGCUAUAGGUCUGCCUUGGCCCGCUUUGGGCUGCAUUGACCCUCCUUGGCCCCUCUUGCGCAGCCUUGACACGUCUAGGGCCACCUUGACCCGUCUACGGCCACUUUGGGCCGUCUUGACCCGUCUAGGGGCGCCUUAACCCGCCUUUACCUGCUUUGGCCCGCCUUUACCCGCUUUGGGCUUGCUUGACCCGCCUAGACCCUCAUAGGGCUGCUAAGAGGCUGCCUUAGCCCAUCUUGAGCUGCUUUGACCCGCAUUGGGUCUCCUUGACCCGCCUUUACCCUCCUAGGGCCACUAAGAGGCCGCCUUAACCCUUCUAGGGCGGCCAAGGGCCCACGUUCACCCGUUUAAGGCCGCCAAGGGGACACCUUGACCCUCAUAGGCCGCCUUGACCCGUCUAGGGUCGUAUUGACCGCCUAGGGCCUCUUGGGCCGCCUUGACCCUCCUAGGCCCUCCUAGACCUGCCUAGGACCACCUUGACCCGCCUUGGCCUGCUUUGGGCUGACUUAACCCACCAUGGGCUUCCUUGACCCGGCUACGACCGCUUUGGGCCGCCUUUAGUCGCCCUGACCCUCAUAGACCCUCCUUGGGCCGCUAAGAGGCCGCCUUAGCCCAUCCAGGUCCACUACGAGGCCGCCUUAACCCAUCUAGGGAGGCCAAGAGGCCGCGUUCACCCAUUUAAGCCCGCCAAGGGGUCACCUUGAUCCGCCUUGGCCUGGCUUGGGCUGCCUUAACCCGCCUUAACCUGCUUUGGGCUGCCUUUGGCCGACUUGACCCGCUUUGGGCCGCCNNNNNN
rnacentral:lncRNA from 1 species